UCCCAGACUCCUACGGGAGGCAGCAGUGAGGAAUAUUGGUCAAUGGGCGCGAGCCUGAACCAGCCAAGUCGCGUGAGGGAUGAAGGAUCUAUGGUUCGUAAACCUCUUUUAUAAGGGAAUAAAGUGCGGGACGCGUCCCGCUUCGCAUGUACCUUAUGAAUAAGGAUCGGCUAACUCCGUGCCAGCAGCCGCGGUAAUACGGAGGAUCCGAGCGUUAUCCGGAUUUAUUGGGUUUAAAGGGUGCGUAGGCGGCCUUUUAAGUCAGCGGUGAAAGUCUGUGGCUCAACCAUAGAAUUGCCGUUGAAACUGGGGGGCUUGAGUAUGUUUGAGGCAGGCGGAAUGCGUGGUGUAGCGGUGAAAUGCAUAGAUAUCACGAAGAACCCCGAUUGCGAAGGCAGCCUGCCGCAGCGUUACUGACGCUGAAGCUCGAAAGCGCGGGUAUCGAACAGGAUUAGAUACCCUAGUAAAC
rnacentral:rRNA from 1 species